rnacentral:rRNA from 1 species
UACGUAGGGUGCAAGCGUUGUCCGGAAUUAUUGGGCGUAAAGAGCUCGUAGGUGGCCUGUCGCGUCGGCUGUGAAAACUCGGGGCUCAACUCCGAGCUUGCAGUCGAUACGGGCAGGCUAGAGUUCGGCAGGGGAGACUGGAAUUCCCGGUGUAGCGGUGAAAUGCGCAGAUAUCAGGAGGAACACCGGUGGCGAAGGCGGGUCUCUGGGCCGUAACUGACGCUGAGGAGCGAAAGCGUGGGGAGCGAACAGG